rnacentral:misc_RNA from 1 species
UUGUUUCUUCUGACAGCAUCCAUCUCCUGUCCAGUUGGCACAAAGGUGCGUGAGCGAUACUUUCUUGUUCCCUCAUCACCCUCACUAUGGUUGUAAAGCACAUAAUCAUGAUAAGUUGGUGCAAACUGAUGAACAGUAUCAUGAUAAAAGUCAUUUAACUUCAAGGCAUGAGCAAGACUUCCUGUUAAACCGCAAGAUCCACCGAUAUUUGCACCAGCAUACUCUUUGUAUGGGAAUGCAAAAAGAUGACCAACAGCAGCUAUAAGCAUCUCAACACAUAUGAUAAAAUUUUGAAACUGAGCAGCUUCCUCUGCAUUCUUUAUGAAUCCAGAUUUUGCAGCCAGAAAAACCAAA